rnacentral:rRNA from 1 species
CAGCACCUCAAGUGGUCAGGAUGAUUAUUGGGCCUAAAGCAUCCGUAGCCGGCGCUGUAAGUUUUCGGUUAAAUCUGUAUGCUCAACAUACAGGCUGCCGGGAAUACUGCAGAGCUAGGGAGUGGGAGAGGUAGACGGUACUCGGUAGGAAGGGGUAAAAUCCUUUGAUCUAUUGAUGACCACCUGUGGCGAAGGCGGUCUACCAGAACACGUCCGACGGUGAGUGAUGAAAGCUGGGGGAGCAAACCGGAUUAGAGACCCGAGUAGUCC